rnacentral:rRNA from 1 species
UACAGAGGCCUCGAGCGUUAGGCGGAAUCACUGGGCUUAAAGCGUGUGUAGGCGGAUUGGUAAGUACCUUGUGAAAUCCCACAGCUUAACUGUGGAACUGCUCGGUAUACUGCUGAUCUUGAGCCACUCAGGGGCUACCGGAACAAAUGGUGGAGCGGUGAAAUGCGUAGAUAUCAUUUGGAACGCCAAUGGUGAAAACAGGUAGUUGGGGGUGUGCUGACGCUGAGACACGAAAGCCAGGGGAGCAAACGGG